rnacentral:misc_RNA from 1 species
GAUGAAGAACGUAGCGAAAUGCGAUAAGUAAUGCGAAUUGCAGAAUUCAGUGAAUCAUCGAAUCUUUGAACGCACAUUGCGCCCGCCAGUACUCUGGCGGGCAUGCCUGUCUGAGCGUCAUUUCAACCCUCGCGCCCGGCUUCUGUCGGGGGCGGUGUUGGGGAUCGGCCUCCCGUCUUCCGGGCGGCCGGCCCCUAAAUGGAGUGGCGACCGCGCCGUAGCCUCCUCUGCGUAGUAGUGAAACCCUCGCGGGCGGAGAGCGGUGCGGCCCGCCGUAAAACCCCCAACUCUUCUAAGGUUGACCUCAGAUCAGGUAGGAAUACCCGCUGAACUUAAGCAUAUCAAUAGCGGGGA